rnacentral:rRNA from 1 species
GAUGAACGCUAGCUACAGGCUUAACACAUGCAAGUCGAGGGGCAGCGAUUUCAGUUUGCUUGCAAACUUGGAGAUGGCGACCGGCGCACGGGUGAGUAACACGUAUCCAACCUGCCGAUAACGUCGGGGAUAGACCUUUCGAAAGAAAGAUUAAUACCCAAUGGUAGUAAUCACGACCGCGAUGGUCUUGUUAUUAAGAAUUUCGGUUAUCGAUGGGGAUGCGUUCCAUUAGGC